UACCAGGGUGGUAACGGGUAACGGGGUGUUAGGGCACGACACCGGAGAGGGAGCCUGAGAAACGGCUACCACAUCCAAGGAAGGCAGCAGGCGCGCAAAUUACCCAAUCCCGACACGGGGAGGUAGUGGCAAUAAAUAACAAUACAGGGUUCUUUAGGAUUUUGUAAUUGGAAUGAGUACAAUUUAAAUCUCUUAACGAGGAACAAUUGGAGGGCAAGUCUGGUGCCAGCAGCCGCGGUAAUUCCAGCUCCAAUAGCGUAUAUUAAAGUUGUUGCAGUUAAAAAGCUCGUAGUUGAAUUUCGGGAUCAAUACGUCGGUCGUGCUUCGGUACGUACUGGCGUCAUUGAUUUCUCCCUUCUGACGAACCAUGAUGUCAUUAACUUGGUGUCUUGGGAAAUCAGGACUGUUACUUUGAAAAAAUUAGAGUGUUUAAAGCAGGCUCACGCUUGAAUACAUUAGCAUGGAAUAAUGAAAUAGGACGUUCGAUCCUAUUUUGUUGGUUUUUAGGAUCAACGUAAUGAUUAAUAGGGAWAGUUGGGGGCAUUAGUAUUCAAUUGUCGGAGGUGAAAUUCUUGGAUUUAUUGAAGACUAACUACUGCGAAAGCAUUUGCCAAGGAUGUUUUCAUUAAUCAAGAACGAAAGUUAGGGGAUCGAAGACGAUCAGAUACCGUCGUAGUCUUAACCAUAAACUAUGCCGACUAGGAAUCGAAUGAUGUUAAUUUUUUAAUGACUCAUUCGGCGCUUUACGGAAAACCAAAGUGUUU
rnacentral:rRNA from 1 species